GGGUGAAGGAACUAGGCAAAAUGGUACCGUAACUUCGGGAGAAGGUACGCUCUUGAUGGUGAAGUCCCUUGCGGAUGGAGCUGACGAGAGUCGCAGAUACCAGGUGGCUGCAACUGUUUAUUAAAAAACACAGCACUGUGCAAAAUCGUAAGAUGACGUAUACGGUGUGACGCCUGCCCGGUGCCGGAAGGUUAAUUGAUGGGGUUAGACUU
rnacentral:rRNA from 1 species